rnacentral:rRNA from 1 species
ACACAUGCAGUCGAGGGGUAUAGUUCUUCGGAACUAGAGACCGGCGCACGGGUGCGUAACGCGUAUGCAAUCUACCUUUCACAGAGGGAUAGCCCAGAGAAAUUUGGAUUAAUACCUCAUAGUAUAAUGAGUUGGCAUCAACACAUUAUUAAAGUCACAACGGUGAAAGAUGAGCAUGCGUCCCAUUAGCUAGAUGGUAAGGUAACGGCUUACCAUGGCAACGAUGGGUAGGGGUCCUGAGAGGGAGAUCCCCCACACUGGUACUGAGACACGGACCAGACUCCUACGGGAGGCAGCAGUGAGGAAUAUUGGACAAUGGGCGCAAGCCUGAUCCAGCCAUGCCGCGUGCAGGAUGACGGUCCUAUGGAUUGUAAACUGCUUUUGUACAGGAAGAAACACUGGUUCGUGAACCAGCUUGACGGUACUGUAAGAAUAAGGAUCGGCUAACUCCGUGCCAGCAGCCGCGGUAAUACGGAGGAUCCAAGCGUUAUCCGGAAUCAUUGGGUUUAAAGGGUCCGUAGGCGGUUUAGUAAGUCAGUGGUGAAAGCCCAUCGCUCAACGGUGGAACGGCCAUUGAUACUGCUAAACUUGAAUUAUUAGGAAGUAACUAGAAUAUGUAGUGUAGCGGUGAAAUGCUUAGAGAUUACAUGGAAUACCAAUUGCGAAGGCAGGUUACUACUAAUGGAUUGACGCUGAUGGACGAAAGCGUGGGUAGCGAACAGGAUUAGAUACCCUGGUAGUCCACGCCG